rnacentral:rRNA from 1 species
GAUGAACGCUGGCGGCGUGCCUAAUACAUGCAAGUCGAGCGAACGGACGAGAAGCUUGCUUCUCUGAUGUUAGCGGCGGACGGGUGAGUAACACGUGGAUAACCUACCUAUAAGACUGGGAUAACUUCGGGAAACCGGAGCUAAUACCGGAUAAUAUUUUGAACCGCAUGGUUCAAAAGUGAAAGACGGUCUUGCUGUCACUUAUAGAUGGAUCCGCGCUGCAUUAGCUAGUUGGUAAGGUAACGGCUUACCAAGGCAACGAUGCAUAGCCGACCUGAGAGGGUGAUCGGCCACACAGGAACUGAGACACGGUCCAGACUCCUACGGGAGGCAGCAGUAGGGAAUCUUCCGCAAUGGGCGAAAGCAUGACGGAGCAACGCCGCGUGAGUGAUGAAGGUCUUCGGAUCGUAAAACUCUGUUAUUAGGGAAGAACAUAUGUGUAAGUAACUGUGCACAUCUUGACGGUACCUAAUCAGAAAGCCACGGCUAACUACGUG